UAAUAUGUUACAGAGCCAAUCGUUCAGGAGAAUUUUGAUAGAUCUUCCUAUUAUUCCAAACUAUCUUAUGGGUUUGUAUACAAUGAGAAGUACAAGGAGGUUACAAUUACGUAAAACUAUCUUAUCUGAAAUUUGAUAGCUUUGGUGUGUCAUAAAGUACGAAAAAUUUUAUUUUGAAGUUUUAGCUCGGUCAAUAGAAUAAAUGAAACCAUCUAAUAUUAUAUCCAUUGGUCAAGAUCAAUUGUGACCAAUUUGUACAAAAAAUAAAUGGUCUCAUCG
rnacentral:lncRNA from 1 species